rnacentral:lncRNA from 1 species
GUUCACCUUUUUGCUUCUGGAUAUAAAUCUUCGUUUUGCUGAAGAGGUUCUGAUAUGACUGACCAUAAGGAAAGAAAGGAGUACACGUCCUCAGAAGCAGUACGAAUGGGGAUGUGCAUCCAACUGCCAAAAUGCACUUUCCAGAAUCACUGGAGGAAGGAGGGCACACCGAGUAUCCUCAGCACUAGACAGAAAGAGCUGCUCUGCUGCCAAAGUGUGGAUUUUGUUGACCUGAAGGAGUGUCCCGGAGAGAAGAUGAUCAUCUGUUGUCAAAAAGUAACACCUUUUCUAACAAGAACAUUGGAAUUAGAAGCACGAACCUGGAAUUAUGGCAGCAUGUUACAAAUGAGAGCAGCUGGAGCACAACCAACACACAGAUCUAUGCUUCAUGAAGAAAAUAUGGGAAAGGUACAGCUGAUACCUACCAACACAAUAAAUGUGCAGAAAAAAGUUACUGAUGACUAGAAGAAAUCCUGAUGCCUUCAAAAUGUCUUUGCUCUCACCCAUUCCUCAUGGUGUUUGGCAAUCGGCUGCAGGCAGUUUUGUUUGUUUCUGAAUGAGAUUUCAGAAAUGUUCUGCUGAAGAGCAAGAAGAUUUUCUGACAGUGGGAUGGAGAGGUCAUUGGCAGCGAGGUGCGAGAG